rnacentral:rRNA from 1 species
ACGAACGCUGGCGGCGUGCUUAACACAUGCAAGUCGAACGGAAAGGCCCCUUUGGGGGUACUCGAGUGGCGAACGGGUGAGUAACACGUGAGUAACCUGCCCUUGACUUCGGGAUAACUUCAGGAAACUGGGGCUAAUACCGGAUAGGAAUCCUUGCUGCAUGGUGGGGGUUGGAAAGCUUCGGCGGUUUUGGAUGGACUCGCGGCUUAUCAGCUUGUUGGUGGGGUAGUGGCUUACCAAGGCUUUGACGGGUAGCCGGCCUGAGAGGGCGACCGGCCACAUUGGGACUGAGAUACGGCCCAGACUCCUACGGGAGGCAGCAGUGGGGAAUAUUGCACAAUGGGCGGAAGCCUGAUGCAGCAACGCCGCGUGCGGGAUGACGGCCUUCGGGUUGUAAACCGCUUUCAGCAGGAGCGAAGCUUGUGGUGACGGUACCUGCAGAAGAAGCACCGGCUAACUACGUG